rnacentral:rRNA from 1 species
GUAGGGAAUAUUGGGCAAUGGAUGCAAGUCUGACCCAGCCAUCCCGCGUGCCGGAAGAAGGUCCUCAGGGUUGUAAACGGCUUUUGACGGUGAAGAAUCGACAGGAUGCGUCCUGUUUUGACGGUAGCCGUUGAAUAAGCACCGGCUAACUCCGUGCCAGCAGCCGCGGUAAUACGGAGGGUGCGAGCGUUGUCCGGAUUUAUUGGGUUUAAAGGGUGCGUAGGCUGGAAGGUCAGUCAGCGGUGAAAAGCUGUCGCUUAACGAUAGUCUUGCCGCAGAUACUUCCUUUCUUGGAUGAGGAGGAGGCCACUGGAACGGAUGGUGUAGCGGUGAAAUGCAUAGAUAUCAUCCAGAACACCGAUUGCGAAGGCAGGUGGCUGUACCUUAAUCGACGCUGAUGCACGAAAGCAUGGGGAGCAAACAGGAUUAGAAACCCUGGUAGUCC